rnacentral:rRNA from 1 species
UGGGGAAUUUUGGACAAUGGGGGAAACCCUGAUCCAGCCAUCCCGCGUGUGCGAUGAAGGCCUUCGGUUGUAAAGCACUUUUGGCAGGAAAGAAACGUCGCGGGUUAAUACCCCGCGAAACUGACGGUACCUGCAGAAUAAGCACCGGCUAACUACGUGCCAGCAGCCGCGGUAAUACGUAGGGUGCAAGCGUUAAUCGGAAUUACUGGGCGUAAAGCGUGCGCAGGGCGGUUCGGAAAGAAAGAUGUGAAAUCCCAGAGCUUAACUUUCGGGAACUGCAUUUUUAACUACCGGGCUAGAGUGUGUCAGAGGGAGGUGGAAUUCCGCGUGUAGCAGUGAAAUGCGUAGAUAUGCGGAGGAACACCGAUGGCGAAGGCAGCCUCCUGGGAUAACACUGACGCUCAUGCACGAAAGCGUGGGGAGCAAACAGGAUUAGAUACCCUGGUAGUCCACGCCCUAAACGAUGUCAACUAGCUGUUGGGGCCUUCGGGCCUUGGUAGCGCAGCUAACGCGUGAAGUUGACCGCCUGGGGAGUACGGUCGCAAGAUUAAAACUCAAAAUGAAUU